rnacentral:rRNA from 1 species
GACGAACCGUGCAAACGUUGUUCGGAUUCACUGGGCUUAAAGGGCGCGUAGGCGGGUGGUCAAGUCAGGGGUGAAAUCUUUCAGCUCAACUGGAAAAUAGCUUCUGAUACUGACCGUCUUGAGGGGGGUAGGGGCAUGUGGAACUUCCGGUGGAGCGGUGAAAUGCGUAGAUAUCGGAAGGAACGCCGGUGGCGAAAGCGACGUGCUGGACCCUUUCUGACGCUGAGGCGCGAAAGCCAGGGGAGCAAACGGG